CUUGACCUUAUGGUAGGACCAGUGAUCCCCUGAGAGUACUGAAAUGCUUGCAGUAUAAUACAUCAUGAACUGAGCCAACAGCCACAGGGUCCCUGACAGCAUUACCACACAGUAAAGGAAGAGUAUUACCUAAAAUACAUGUAACUGGUAGCAGCUAGCUGAAGGGGAAAGAACUGGAAGCAGAAGACAUUGGGACUUAGAAACGGUGCAAACACUCCCACCUAGAGCUCUCUAGAUGUGACGCAUGGCUAUGGAUUCCAAGUUCACAUUUUAUGAAUUGAGAAGCCAUGGAGUAGGAAAGAGAAGAAACACGGAGUGCAAAAAGGCAAAAAUUCAACUGGCAGAAGACCAGAAGUGAGGGAGAAAAUAG